UUGAGUUUUUUUUGAAGAAUUGAUGUUAUAAUUAGAACUAGGAACUCAAGAUAAGGUUAAAAAUUGAAGAUUGAUGAAAUUUCUUCAAGUUGGUGCUGUUAGAGGAGGCAGAUUCGUUUCUGUUCAGGAUCUAACUUAGGGGCAGGAUAAAGGGUCGAGAUGGCUUAGAUUCUAAA